rnacentral:rRNA from 1 species
AUAAGCGGAGGAAAAGAAACCAACAGGGAUUGCCCCAGUAACGGCGAGUGAAGCGGCAACAGCUCAAAUUUGAAAUCUGGCCCUUGUCGGGGUCCGAGUUGUAAUUUGUAGAGGGUGCUUUGGCGUCGGCUGCGGUCCAAGUUCCUUGGAACAGGACGUCACAGAGGGUGAGAAUCCCGUACGUGGCUGCGUGCCUUCGCCGUGUAAAGCCCCUUCGACGAGUCGAGUUGUUUGGGAAUGCAGCUCUAAAUGGGAGGUAAAUUUCUUCUAAAGCUAAAUACCGGCCAGAGACCGAUAGCGCACAAGUAGAGUGAUCGAAAGAUGAAAAGCACUUUGGAAAGAGAGUCAAAAAGCACGUGAAAUUGUUGAAAGGGAAGCGCUUGCAGCCAGACGUGCCCGCGGUUGCUCAUCCGGAUCACUGUCCGGUGCACUCUCCCGCGGGCAGGCCAGCAUCGGUUUGGGCGGUUGGAUAAAGGCUCCGGGAAUGUAGCUCCCCCCGGGGAGUGUUAUAGCCCGGUGCGCAAUGCAGCCAGCCCGGACCGAGGCCCGCGCGCAUGCUAGGAUGCUGGCGUAAUGGUUGUAAGCGGCCCGUCUUGAAACACGGACCAAGGAGUCUAACAUCUAUGCGAGUGUUUGGGUGUCAAGCCCGGGCGCGCAAUGAAAGUGAACGGAGGUGGGAACCCCCUCGAGGGCGCACCAUCGACCGAUCCUGAUGUCUUCGGAUGGAUUUGAGUAAGAGCAUAGCUGUUGGGACCCGAAAGAUGGUGAACUAUGCCUGAAUAGGGUGAAGCCAGAGGAAACUCUGGUGGAGGCUCGCAGCGGUUCUGACGUGCAAAUCGAUCGUCAAAUUUGGGCAUAGGGGCGAAAGACUAAUCGAACUAU